UACAGAGGGGGCAAGCGUUAUUCGGAAUUAUUGGGCGUAAAGGGCGCGUAGGCGGCUUUGCAAGUGGCGGGUGAAAUCCCCCGGCUUAACCGAGGAACUGCCUGUCAAACUGCAUGGCUUGAGACCAGGAGAGGGGAGUGGAAUUCCCAGUGUAGCGGUGAAAUGCGUAGAUAUUGGGAGGAACACCAGUGGCGAAGGCGGCUCACUGGACUGGUACUGACGCUGAUGCGCGAAAGCGUGGGGAGCAAACAGG
rnacentral:rRNA from 1 species